rnacentral:piRNA from 1 species
CAGCAAUAGGUCAGGAACUAUGGACAU